rnacentral:rRNA from 1 species
UAGAGUUUGAUCCUGGCUCAGGAUGAACGCUAGCUACAGGCUUAACACAUGCAAGUCGAGGGGCAGCAUGGGAGUUUGCUUGCAAACUUCCGAUGGCGACCGGCGCACGGGUGAGUAACACGUAUCCAACCUGCCGAUAACUCGGGGAUAGCCUUUCGAAAGAAAGAUUAAUAUCCGAUAGCAUAUCAAGGUCGCAUGAUCUUGAUAUUAAAGAAUUUCGGUUAUCGAUGGGGAUGCGUUCCAUUAGUUAGUUGGCGGGGUAACGGCCCACCAAGACGACGAUGGAUAGGGGUUCUGAGAGGAAGGUCCCCCACAUUGGAACUGAGACACGGUCCAAACUCCUACGGGAGGCAGCAGUGAGGAAUAUUGGUCAAUGGGCGGGAGCCUGAACCAGCCAAGUCGCGUGAGGGAUGACGGCCCUAUGGGUUGUAAACCUCUUUUGCCGGGGAGCAAAGUGCCGCACGUGUGCGGUUUGGAGAGUACCCGGAGAAAAAGCAUCGGCUAACUCCGUGCCAGCAGCCGCGGUAAUACGGAGGAUGCGAGCGUUAUCCGGAUUUAUUGGGUUUAAAGGGUGCGUAGGCGGACGCUUAAGUCAGCGGUAAAAUUGCGGGGCUCAACCUCGUCGAGCCGUUGAAACUGGGUGCCUUGAGUGGGCGAGAAGUACGCGGAAUGCGUGGUGUAGCGGUGAAAUGCAUAGAUAUCACGCAGAACUCCGAUUGCGAAGGCAGCGUACCGGCGCCCAACUGACGCUGAAGCACGAAGGCGUGGGUAUCGAACAGGAUUAGAUACCCUGGUAGUCCACGCAGUAAACGAUGAAUGCUAGUUGUCCGGGGCGAUUGAGUUCUGGGUGACACAGCGAAAGCGUUAAGCAUUCCACCUGGGGAGUACGCCGGCAACGGUGAAACUCAAAGGAAUUGACGGGGGCCCGCACAAGCGGAGGAACAUGUGGUUUAAUUCGAUGAUACGCGAGGAACCUUACCCGGGCUCAAACGCAGGAGGGAUGUUUUUGAAAGGAGGCAGCCAGCAAUGGUCUCCUGCGAGGUGCUGCAUGGUUGUCGUCAGCUCGUGCCGUGAGGUGUCGGCUUAAGUGCCAUAACGAGCGCAACCCCUACCUACAGUUGCCAUCGCGUGAUGGCGGGCACUCUGUGGGGACUGCCUGCGCAAGCAGUGAGGAAGGCGGGGAUGACGUCAAAUCAGCACGGCCCUUACGUCCGGGGCGACACACGUGUUACAAUGGCAGGUACAGCGGGAAGCCACCCGGCGACGGGGCGCGGAACCCGAAAACCUGUCUCAGUUCGGAUUGGAGUCUGCAACCCGACUCCAUGAAGCUGGAUUCGCUAGUAAUCGCGCAUCAGCCACGGCGCGGUGAAUACGUUCCCGGGCCUUGCACUCACCGCCCGUCA